ensembl:misc_RNA Metazoa_SRP Metazoan signal recognition particle RNA
AGGUGCAGUGGCACGUGCCUGUAGCCCACCUACUUGGGAGGCUGAGGUGGGAGGAUCUCUUGAGCCCAGGAGUUCUGGGCUGUAGUGUGUUAUGCAGAUUGGGUGUCCGCACUAAGUUCAGCAUCAAUAUGGUGACUCCUGGGAGCGAGGGACCACCAGGUUGCCUAAGGAGGGGUGAACCAGCCCAGAUCAGAAAGGGAGCAGGUCAAAACUCCUGUGCUGAUCAGUAGUGGGAUCGCACCUAUGAAUAGCCACUGCACUCCAGCCUGGGCAACAUAGCGAAAUCCCAUCUCUU